UACAGAGGUCUCAAGCGUUGUUCGGAUUCAUUGGGCGUAAAGGGUGCGUAGGCGGCGCGGUAAGUCGGGGUGUGAAAUCUUGGAGCUUAACUCCGAAACUGCAUUCGAUACUGCCGUGCUUGAGGACUGGAGAGGAGACUGGAAUUUACGGUGUAGCGGUGAAAUGCGUAGAUAUCGUGAGGAAGACCAGUGGCGAAGGCGGAUCUCUGGACAGCUCCUGACGCUGAGGCGCGAAGGCUAGGGGAGCAAACGGGG
rnacentral:rRNA from 1 species